ACCAGAAAAGUGAUCUGUGUUUAUUUAUUAUGUUCUUUCCAGAUAUCCCUGCUUCCAGUUGAGAACUCCGAUUCUGUGUCGAGGCUGGAUCCUGACACUUAGCCAUUCUGUCUGGCAUAAGAUGGAUCUCAAUAUCAGAAUUUUCCUAAUUGUUUUGACAUCAGAGUAGUGCUGACUUUAUAACAGAAUGAGUUUGAACGAAGAAGUGAAGCACCUCUACUCAUCCAUUUUCCUGACGAUUCCCCUAAUUUAAAGAAAAACUAUUUAUUUAAUGUCCCUGGGUAUUUUACUUCCACGUGUGUCUGUGCUCCUCAGGCAUGUAGUGCCAGCGGAGGCCAGAAGAGGGUGUCAAAUUCCCUGGGUUUGGAUCAUUGGUUAUGAGCUGCCAAAUGGGUGCUGGAAAUAGAACACAGGCCCUCUGGAAAGCAACCAACACUCUUAAUUGCUGAACCUAUGAAAGUGGUAAAAUUACUGUAGAACGUGUUGCGGGGAUAAACAGUAUUAAGUGUCUGGCCGCAUUCCCUGAUUUUUUUUAAGCAUUCUUUUGGAGAACUGUGGGAGAAAGCAGGGCAAGUGCCUGUACUAGUGAUCUGAACGUAAUACUUACCUGAUCUGUGUUCCUGAUUACCACAAUAUGGGUCAAAUUAUAAAGAACUCAGAUUCAGAGAAGGAAGCAGUCAAAACUAAAAUUCAGCAGUAAUUUUGGAUGCCAAAGCUCUUUCCACUCUGGCCUCCCAAUCUGCAAGUAAGAGUGGUAGAGGAUCCAAGUAGGGAAGGAGAAAGGGUACCAGUCGACCCGUUCCGUUAGACUAGAUCAUAAUGUCUUGCUAAAUAUUCACAGCGUGCCUGGAUCUUUCAAUAAUUUACUCAUCCAACAAAUAUUUGAAGUUGUAAAAUGACCACAAAUUUGGGUAAAAGUUCAGACAGAUAGAACAUGUCCCCUUGGUUUUUGGUUUUGACAAAAGCUCAGAACUGUGGAAAGAAAGAAAGAACCACGGGUUAUGCAUGUUGUGUCACAGUGGAAGACAAGUAGGAGUGUGUUAAAGAAAACAUUUGGAUAGGUGAAAGACCAAGUUAGGAGCAAACAGUCAUUCCUGGUAGAGUGAAUGAGCUGCCUUUCUAGAUAUUCCUGUUGAAAUAUCUUUUGUAUAUGCUUCUCUGGGGUCUUCAGAGUGAGGAUUGAUUUAUGGAAGAUAAUCAUGAACCAGGUGAAGCUAAGGACGUUAGAGAAGGGCUUAUCUCCACCCUUUAACUUUUUUUUUCUCUUCUAAAAAAUUGUCAUUCUUAAAAUUUAUUUUUUACUUAUUUUUUAUGCAAUCUAUUUUGAUCAAAUUUUUUCACUCCCCAAGCCCCUCCCAGAUCCUCAGGACCUUCCUACCUAUCCACUUUCGUGUUAAUGAAAUUCUUUCUUUGCUUAAAUAAUAUCUCCACAAAAUCCAUAAAUAAAUGAGAUUGUUGGAAACCAUCUCAGCACUCUUCAGUUGAUUGUCUAGUAAUCCUUCAAUACUUCAUUUUUUAAACUUUUGCUUUAUUCAUCCUGGGUAGGCAUUAAAUUUUCCAGGGAAGGCACAAUAUGUAUAAAUGCAUUAAUUUCUCUUUUAGAAUUUGCCCUGAGUUCAAUAGAUAUUAAAUUAAUGAAUGACUGAAUAGGUGAUGGGAAACUUAGGUAUUUGGGAAAGAGAGGCAUCAUUAGUCUACUCAAUGAAAACUCUGAGGCACAGAAAGAUUCUGUCACAGGCUGUGUAUGUGGUGAGGCUAAUCUUAGUCUUGAGCCACCUGAAUGCAACUGCAGUGUUCCACCUGCUCACACAUCCAUCCUGGAUCACAACUGGAAGUGAUUGUGGCGUGCCUCGGGGAAAGUGGAAGAAACAGCUGGAUUUGGAGUCCAGAUGCAAGGAUGACUAUGUGUAGAACCCAGCAAUUAUAUUCAUCUGAACACCAAUUUCCCUUGUCAUCAUUUCAUCCUGAAAUUAUGAAAACAGUACAAGCACCUAUACCUAUGAAAUGCUUGGUAAAUCUGAAUAUGAAU
rnacentral:sRNA from 1 species